GGCGGGGGGGAUGCUUACCAUGCAGUCGAGCGGCAGCAUGCCCUUCGGGGUGAUGGCGAGCGGCGGACGGGUGAGUAAUACAUAGGAAUCUGCCCUAGAGUGGGGGAUAGCCCGGGGAAACUCGGAUUAAUACCGCAUAAUCUCUACGGAGCAAAGUGGGGGAUCUUCGGACCUCACGCUUUAGGAUGAGCCUAUGGCCGAUUAGCUUGUUGGUGAGGUAACGGCUCACCAAGGCCACGAUCGGUAGCUGGUUUGAGAGGAUGAUCAGCCACACUGGGACUGAGACACGGCCCAGACUCCUACGGGAGGCAGCAGUGGGGAAUAUUGGACAAUGGGCGAAAGCCUGAUCCAGCAAUUCCGCGUGUGUGAAGAAGGCCUUAGGGUUGUAAAGCACUUUAAUCAGGGAAGAAAAAGCUUUGGCUAAUAUCCAAAGCCUUGACGGUACCUGAAGAAUAAGCACCGGCAAACUCUGUGCCAGCAGCCGCGGUAAUACAGAGGGUGCGAGCGUUAAUCGGAUUUACUGGGCGUAAAGCGUGCGUAGGAGGCUUGUUAAGUCGGUUGUGAAAUCCCCGGGCUCAACCUGGGAACUGCAGUCGAUACUGGCAAGCUAGAGUUCGGUAGAGGGUGGUGGAAUUUCCGGUGUAGCGGUGAAAUGCGUAGAGAUCGGAAGGAACACCAAUGGCGAAGGCAACCACCUGGGCCUGAACUGA
rnacentral:rRNA from 1 species